AGGUAUCGGAUUGAUACUAAGCCAUGCGAGUCUUUGUAGCAAUACAAGGCAGACGGCUCAGUAACACGUAGUCAAUCUACCCUAUGGACGGGGAUAACCUCGGGAAACUGAGAAUAAUACCCGAUAGAUCAUUAUGCCUGGAAUGGUUUAUGGUCGAAAUGAUUUAUCGCCGUAGGAUGGGACUGCGGUCUAUCAGCUUGUUGGUGAGGUAAUGGCCCACCAAGGCUAUAACAGAUACGGGCUCUGAGAGGAGAAGCCCGGAGAUGGGUACUGAGACACGGACCCAGGCCCUAUGGGGCGCAGCAGGCGAGAAAACUUUGCAAUGUGCGAAAGCACGACAAGGUUAAUCCGAGUGUUUUCUGCUAAAGAAAUCUUUUGUCAGUCCUAAAAACACUGAUGAAUAAGGGGUGGGCAAGUUCUGGUGUCAGCCGCCGCGGUAAAACCAGCACCUCAAGUGGUCAGGAGGAUUAUUGGGCCUAAAGCAUCCGUAGCCGGCCGUGUAAGUUUUCGGUUAAAUCUAUACGCUCAACGUAUAGGCUGCCGGGAAUACUGCACAGCUAGGGAGUGGGAGAGGUAGACGGUACUCGGUAGGAAGGGGUAAAAUCCUUUGAUCUAUUGAUGACCACCUGUGGCGAAGGCGGUCUACUAGAACACGUCCGACGGUGAGGGAUGAAAGCUGGGGGAGCAAACCGGAUUAGAUACCCGGGUAGUCCCAGCUGUAAACAAUGCAAACUCAGUGAUGCACUGGCUUGUGGCCAGUGCAGUGCCGCAGGGAAGCCGUUAAGUUUGCCGCCUGGGAAGUACGUACGCAAGUAUGAAACUUAAAGGAAUUGGCGGGGGAGCACCACAAGGGGUGAAG
rnacentral:rRNA from 1 species